GAUGAACGCUAGCGGCAGGCCUAACACAUGCAAGUCGAGCGAGACCUUCGGGUCUAGCGGCGGACGGGUUAGUAACGCGUGGGAACGUGCCCUUCUCUGCGGAAUAGCCACUGGAAACGGUGAGUAAUACCGCAUACGCCCUUCGGGGGAAAGAUUUAUCGGAGAAGGAUCGGCCCGCGUUAGAUUAGAUAGUUGGUGGGUAACGGCCUACCAAGUCUACGAUCUAUAGCUGGUUUUAGAGGAUGAUUAGCAACACUGGGACUGAGACACGGCCCAGACUCCUACGGGAGGCAGCAGUGGGGAAUCUUAGACAAUGGGCGCAAGCCUGAUCUAGCCAUGCCGCGUGUGUGAUGAAGGUCUUAGGAUCGUAAAGCACUUUCGCCAGGGAUGAUAAUGACAGUACCUGGUAAAGAAACCCCGGCUAACUCCGUG
rnacentral:rRNA from 1 species